GUCCCCCGCAAGGGGUGACACUUGGUCAAUUUGAAACAAUACAGAGAAGAUUAGCAUGGCCCCUGCACUAAGGAUGACACAUGCAAACAAAGUGAGCAAAACAAUUUUU
rnacentral:snRNA from 1 species